AGUGAACGCUGGCGGCGUGCCUAAUACAUGCAAGUCGAACGGAGUGGCGCACGGGUGAGUAUUGUAUAGCUAAUCUGCCCUACACUAGAGGCCCACAGUUGGAAACGACUGCUAAUACUCUAUAGUGUAGGAUGAGGCUAUAUUGUAUCAGCUAGUUGGUGAGGUAAUGGCUCACCACGGCUAUGACGCAUAACUGGUCUGAGAGGAUGAUCAGUAGCGCUGGAACUGAGACACGGCCCAGACGCCUACGGGAGUCCGCAGUAGGGAAUAUUGCAAAAUGGGGGAAACCCUGAAGCAGCAGCGCCGCGUGGAGGAUGACACUUUUCGGAGCGUAAACUCCUUUUGUGAGGGAAGCGGUACCUAACGAAUAAGCACCGGCUAACACCGUGCCAGCAGCCGCGGUAAUAC
rnacentral:rRNA from 1 species